rnacentral:rRNA from 1 species
ACUCCUACGGGAGGCAGCAGUAGGGAAUCUUCCACAAUGGGCGCAAGCCUGAUGGAGCAACACCGCGUGAGUGAAGAAGGGUUUCGGCUCGUAAAGCUCUGUUAGUUAAAGAAGAACACGUAUGAGAGUAACUGUUCAUACGUUGACGGUAUUUAACCAGAAAGUCACGGCUAACUACGUGCCAGCAGCCGCGGUAAUACGUAGGUGGCAAGCGUUAUCCGGAUUUAUUGGGCGUAAAGAGAGUGCAGGCGGUUUUCUAAGUCUGAUGUGAAAGCCUUCGGCUUAACCGGAGAAGUGCAUCGGAAACUGGAUAACUUGAGUGCAGAAGAGGUAGUGGAACUCCAUGUGCGAGCGGUGGAAUGCGUAGAUAUAGUGG